CCGCGAGGGGGCCGCGCGGGGAGAGGGGUGGCUGCGGGGCCGGGCGGGUCUGUUGGUGUCCGAGAACGGGCCCGAUCGUGGCGUUCCGGCCGUGCGGUUCGUGACAAGUCACGAUGCAAGGAGCGAGGUGAGCGCUGCUGUGUCCUUCGUUGCAGCGCAGCUCGUUAAAUUUUCGCCAUCCGGACGCCGCGCGGUGUGUCUGUCUGCCCCUUUGAUUGCGUUAGGCCUGGACUUCAGCUUCGGCGGCUGCCGGAGAUGUCCCGGGAGGAGAGCCGGCAGCCUGUGCCGGUGUUUGCCUGCCCCUAGAACAAAAAACCCGGUGUUGUUGUGUGCCUAACACUGCCCAGGGUGCUGCUGGCCUUUGCUGCAAGGUGAACGCCUUUGGUAAGAAAAAGGUGUGAUCUAGCAGUUCAGCAAAGCUGUCUGCAGUUAAAAAAGUAGGCGGUUAUAGCUGGGGAAAUAUGCCUUACAACUCAGAAAACACCAUACAGUUGUAAGGUGGUUUAAUUUAUUUCUUAACAUUGCCCAGGACACCCAAAAUGGCACAGCUGUGUGACUCCCUGUGCAGAUACUUGUGCAGAUAGCAGAGCUGGAAUAUUGCAGGAGUACCACCAGUCUCAGCGUGUCUAUAUGCUUGAAUUGCUGUGUAAGGAGUUCAGAAGCAGAAAAAAAGCUCCUUAGGUGGCAGUCUUGGAAUGGUAUGAGAGCAAUAAGGAUUGGAGUUACUGGCAAUAAUGAAGAUAAGUCAUGGAAGCCCAAUUAAAGCAUUUUGGUUUAAUCCUGCAAAUCAUCUCUGCACUCCGGAUCAUGUCAGUGGGGAAGAAUGCGGUGGUGUGUCUGGAACAGAGCUCUGAGUGCACCAGCAGUGCCUGGGCCAGACUGCAGUCCCACUUUCCCUUUCUUGGAUGUGGACACUGCAUGGCAGCAAAAGGCAUGAUGUACAGCAUUUGAAGAACCUGCAGUGUUGCCUCUAGCAAGUGGGUAGUGUUUCUGGAUGUUAUCAUGUGCAAAAUCUACUCUCACAAUAGAGCUGCAUCUUAGUUCCCUAGUUAUUUUGAGCAGCUCAUAGGAAAGCCCACUGGGAACAAAUAGCAUUCUGACUGCUCGCCUACAAAUGCAAACAAACACUCAGCUGGAUUCAGCAGGCUUAAACAACAUAAUCUGCUCAUUAUGAGGUUCACUGAUAAAACCAGCCAGUCUGAUUCAUCUGGACCAAUCCUCUGUGGAUGUAUGAAUGCUUCUUAGAAACUAAGUUCAUUCAAGGUUGCAGACCAGUUUCCUUUCAUUGUCUUCUGAGCCUCUUGGCUCUGCUCUUCUGUUCCAAAACCAGAUCUGGCAGCACUGAAGACAAGCAGCAGUCACAGUACGUAUUUGAGAGGCUUUUAGAAAUGUGGCUGACAUUCUGCAGGCAGGACAGCUCCUUGUUUUCUGAGCACUGAUGUGCUUUUGUCCCUGGGCCAUCAUGCAGUCACAUGCAGGGGCAGGUACCGAGGUCUCCAGAGCUGAAGAUGUCAACAGCUAUGAAAUGACAGUGGUUAAUUUCUGGGAAAAAACAUUAUUCCAAGGCCGUGCCUGAACAUGGGGAAUCUGACAGACUGAUGAAAACAAUCAGUUCAUCUCUGAAUGGGAGAUGUGAACUUGAGACACGCUCUGUGUUGCUUCUGUUCUUGGCAGGAGUGGGGGCAGUCACUGAGCUGCUGACAGCUGCUUCCAGAGAGGAAUUUAAUGGAGGCUGAUGUCAGGAUUUGGCUGAAGAGCGGCACAUUAGCUUCAAAACCAUGAUCCUAACACAAGAAGCUGUAUUCAAAUUUCAGCAUAGCAACUGCCAGAGAGGUUAGGCCACAUGAGUGCAAGAUGCAUUUUGUGCCACAGGUGAAGAAGGCCAAUGUGCUGCAGCAUCACAGAGCUCCUCUGCAUGUAUCAUGGGGAUGGGGGGGCUUUGUCUGCCCCCUGGGUGUCAAAGACUGGGUGACGUCAGCUCUAGCCAGUUUCUCAGAGGCUGUGGAGAAGGAAUACCAGUCCAUGUGCCUAGAAUUAUCAGUACACCUCUUGUCAAUAUUUUGAGCUGUAUUCAGAUUCUCAGAAACACCAUAGCUUCAGCUGAGGACGCAGUUCUGUGGUACUAGCACAGCAAAGCCAGGAUUGCCAUAGGCCCCAUGCUGCCCCAGUUUGUGCUGCCAGCAGGGCAGAGCCACACAUUUCCUUUCGGUCUCAAAAAACCAGAAAUGCUUAUGCCCAGUUGGGGUUUUGUGUGAAUCCUAUUGAAGAGUAAAAACACAAACACAGCUCAUUUAGCUUUUUGUCAAGACUUUCGAGAUCUCUAAGCACAGACUGGCAGAGAACUGCCACUUGGAUUGCUCGGGACACACCCGGCUCCACUCACAUUGCAAGCACACCAGGGGAGCUGGACACCCACAGCACACUCUAAGAUAACACAGGUCUUUUCUCUAUAUAGUGGUCACUCAGUACUCCAGUGGUUAUUUGCCUCACUUCUUGGUAUUACUUUCCGUUGUUUUUUUUUUAAAGUAUGCUAGGUUAUAUAAAUUUACGUUAUACCUAAAAAGCUUACUUGAAAUGCAUCAUGAAGCGCUAAUGAAGAUUUUUAUCCUUAAAAUCCACGACUACUAAAAAAGCUGUGGGAGGGCAAGAAAUGUAUUUGUAAUCUGAGAUGACAGGGAUUAGCCCCUUCCCCUUGCUAAUUUCCAGGCAUGUGCAUUUGCAUAUAUUUUGAUUCAUGAAAGGUCCCCAAAGAGUUGUUCUGAAGGCUGGUUUCUUUUGAAUGUUGACUACAAAGGUGGAGUGGUGGAGGAAUUUAUGAUGUCAGAAGAUACAAUAUCAAAAGCAGUGAGCUAUCCAAUGCUGAGCAUGGAAUAGUGGAGGAAUCCUUCAUUAGAUGGUUCAAAAUGCGGUGAUUGUUUGCAUAGCUCUGUAAUUAAUUCUGUGCUGUUUUUAAAGGAAUAACGAGGAUAUUGUCCUGGAGAUAUGUGUCAGGGAUGAUUGAAAAUAUCUAGUUUAAAGUGGCCAGAAAGCUGUGUAAUGUCCAAUUUAAUUCAACAGAAAUGAAAAGUUAAAGGUGGUGGGAAACUGACAUUCAAAGGAUUGUAAUUUCAACUAAAAAGCAUUUCGGAUUCUCUUCGUGUAUGUGGUUUCAACUAAAGAGAACUAAACAUUCACUAUACAAAUGAAUAAAGCCUAGAUCUGUUAUCACAAGAAAUUUUUAAUAUGGUUUGUGACAAGCAAUAUCAAAGUUAUCAACUCUCAAGCUUCAUCUGAAACCAGACAACUCUCAGCAACAAAAAAUGUUGUGCACUGAUAAACAUAGGAGGCAUAUUGUAUUUUUUAAUUAAAUAUGAAAACAUGAGCUGUGUACAUUAUUUUUUCCCUAGAAAACACAGCAAUUUCAAAAGUUUAUCAUAAAAUAUUUUCAUGAAAUGAGUGAACCAGCAAACACAUGCACUUGUGUGCCUUCCCCCCUCCAAAGAUAAACGUGAUAAAGAGACAUACGCAAAUGUAGAAGUUAACAGAACAAGUGGCGUUUUGUUGUUGGUUGGUUCUUUUUGGAAAGGAUGGAAUGUAACAUUGUGCUCAACUUUCUAUGUCACAACAAAAAAUAUUUGGUGCAAUAUUUGAACAUUUUC